AAUAUUUAUAACUUUGAUAUACAAAAUACCCUGAAAUUUCCAUAAAUAUAUUUUCCUAGUGGACUCUUAUUUUUUUUUGCAAGGAUAUUUCAUUUUCUUUGGUAUGUACAAGCAUCUCCACAAUCAACUUCAGGACAGUUUCAAACACCCCAAAGUGAAACCUCAGCCCCCAUUAGCAUUACUCCAUGUUCUGUCCACCCACCUCAGCCCUAGGCCAAUCUACACAUUUACUUUCUGUCUCUUCGUGUAGAUGCUUUUGUGUGGACAUAUGUUUUCAUUCGCUAGUACUAAAAUUGCUGGGUCUUUGUGAAUCUUUUCUCUCGUUUUGGAGCUUGUCUUUUCAUCUUCUUAAUAGGGCCUUUGUAGAACAAAAGUCUAAAAAUUUUAAUGAAGCCCACUUUGCCAAUUUUUUCUUUUGUGGAUUGUGCUUUUGGUAUCAAGUCU
rnacentral:lncRNA from 1 species